CACUCACUGGACCCAUAUUUACUUUCAAUCUCUUUUCGAUUUUUAAUUCGAUUAUACCUUCCGGUAACCUGCCUCACCCAAUGUGAUACGGAAUCGCUAUUAUUUUUAAUUUUUAGAACACAUUCAAGAACCUCCAGAAGCUAACCAGCUACAAGCUAUUUAUUCAUUGUUAGCCACUGCUAGCAGCUUUUACCUUCUGCACAGCCAGACAGUUUUUUUUUAGCCUGGAUAAUACUCGCCAGUCUAGCUUCCCUGUCCCAUCCACCGCUGUCCCUUGGACACUGUGAUCACUUGGCUACAUAGCUGAUGCCUGCUGGACUGUCCAUUAAUCACGGUUGGAUCAGUCAUGGACAGAAACUUCUGAGACGCGGUAUCAAUGAUGAACACCCAGAGGUUCACUGGUAAACCACAUUUUACUCGGGAUCCAUCCCAGUUGGUAUUCUGUGUCCACUCGUGGUAUCUCUCUUCGGUUACACAUCCCUGGAAUAGCAGAACAGCAUAACGUCAGAAGAGGAAUGGAAAUGUCAGGGUAAACCGACGACCUGACGAACCCACCAAGAUUGUUGACUCUGCCUGUCGGAGGUGGAGUUCCAGAGCUCACAGGUGUGCCUGGCAUGGAUUGUGACUCCAUCUCGUUCUUCGCCCUCUUCAACGUGUCAUUCUCCGCCUGACUCUCCGCCAAUGCCGCCUGGCUCUGGACCAAUGCAUCAGCUGUCGCCUGUAUCUCUGCCCUCAGAGAAUGUUUCUCUUUCUGCUGGUCUGCCUUCAAUGACUCGAUCUCGCUCUUCAAAAUUGGAAUCUGAUCCAUGUGUACCUUCAUCAGAUGAGCAGAAUGGUACCGCCCUGAGCCCCCAUCGAUUACAGUGGCCUAUGAUAGAAACGGUAGAUCAGUGAAGAAUUCAAAGUGACUCCAACACACAAAUGCUGCAUACACAUUAAAAAUAAAUAAGACCUACACCACUUUUAGCUGCACAUUACUCAACGCUAGUGAGACUCAUGUCGCCUACGGCAGGCCUACAGUAUAUUUAAAAAUAUAUUUUUCAAUGACGUGACUCUUCGUCAAUAAUUACAUUUAGAGGAUUGGAGGAUUCUACAUGAAUAUCUAAGGGGCAUUUUAUCAAUUAGUAUAUUUGAGUUUAACCACAAUAUUGUUGUAUUAUUUGUUCUGUCUUUUCUGGUGGAUUAAACUGAAAUUGCAACCAACUUUCUAU
ensembl:lncRNA